CAGAUGGUUUCAUUUACUCUUCAAUGUAUCAUGAAAGUGAGGAAGCCUGGCAGGUACUCUUUGCAACAUGUUUGUUACUUCAUAAAUCUUUGGGCCUUGCUAAAGUUUACUCUAAGGCUUACUUUAGCACAGAUUUUUUUUUUAAAAAAACCAACAUUACAAAGUAUCAGUGGUAAAAAGACCAGUCACAAGUGUGACAAACGUAGGUAAAAAGUAUCAAAAAACUUUUCUGACCCAACAUAAUUUUGGCUAUUAGCUGUGGUUCUUAGAACCAGAGCUCAUUCCACAUUCCACAGCCUGGAGAUGGGGGUGAUGUCCCUACUUAUAGAGGUCUUUUAGUCCCUGAGCUUCCAUUCUGUGACGCUCACACUGAAUGAGCCCGGGAGUCAAUCCGCUCCCUGUCUCAUUGAGCCACUGAGCAGACACUGUGGGAGACUCACACUGGAAGUCCUCUCUGGGGUCACCCUUUCAGUCCCUGAGUGAGCAGUGAGGGCGAAUCAAACUGGAAGAGACAACAGCGCUCAGCUAGAAGCCUCCUCCAGUGCCUGAGGACCCCCUCAGUGAGACUCGGACCAGAAGGGAAUCCUUUGGGAUCACCUCCCUCCUACCUUUACACCCUUAGAAAUAAAUGCCAGUACCAGCCAGACUUCUUAGAACUGAAAGUGAACCUGAUGAUGCAAUUUGAUACGCGGUAAACCGAUAAAGGAGAAUAUUUGUGGCUCGCGGUUGAAAUGAAGCAUCCUUGAUGCUCGCUGAGUCUGGUGGUUUUCUUGUAGAUGUUUCAUUGGAAACUAGGGAACAUCAUCAGUGCUGGAAGGAAGGGCAGCUUGCUCUCAAUUUAUGUUCUAGUGGCUUCUUUCAGUGUUGGUACAAAUGGUCUUGGAGGUUCUUAGUUGGGCUUUUGUUGUUAGCUUCUUGGGCAGUUGCUUGACUGGGGUAUUUUGUAUUUCUUGAUUGUUGGUUUGAUGUGAAUGAUAGUGAUAAAACCUCAACGGCCCUUUUUAAUGCUAGGUGUGGCUGUUGAUGAUUAUAGAUCUUACAGUUUUCUAGCUUUGCAGACUGAGGGGAGGAAUAAGUGCACUCUUGCUGUCCAAUGUUCCUCGGAAGAGACAACGCUUGCUGGGCACGGCAGAAGAGGAAAGAAAAGCGAAAGAAGAAACAAGAAAGCAAGAAAAUGUCUCCAGCCCAAGACUGUUAGCCUUCAGCUGUGAUGUCAUCUUCUAUGCUGUGAGGCUCUUAGAAGACAGAAGACUGAGUUGUCACCCUGCAGUGUUGAUGGUAAAAAUGGAAGAAGGAGGAAUGGAAAGCAAGAAUAAAUAUGACCUUCGCCAAGAAUGCAACUUCACCCAGUAAAUCAAAACUGACCCGCAGAUAAUAGAUUUCAUACCUUUCUGGCCUGGUGUAAAUAUAGCCCGGCAAUAGUUCUUAGAACUAGAAAGAAAACCUCAACGGCCCUGUUUAAUUCCAGGUGUGGCCAGUAAUUGAUAAUAGAUUUUAUACCUUUUUUGCCUGGCAUAAUUUAGCUCUGGCGAUGGUUCUUAGAACCAGAAAGAAAAUCUCAUUGGCCCUUUUUAAUGCUAAGUGUGGUCAUUGAUCUGUAGAAGAGUUUAUAGUUUCUGAGUUUGAGGGGACGAACAAGUGCACUCCUGCUGCCAAAUGUUCCUCGAAAGAGACAACACUUGCUGGGCACAGCAGAGGAAGAAACAAAAUGAAAGAAGAAACAAGAACGAAGAAACAAGUCAGCAAGAAAUUGUCUCCAGCCCAAGUCCUUUUGGUUGUGAUGUCGCCUCUAUGCUAUGAGGCAUGAAUCCAAACUGACCUGUAGACGAAGAAGAAGACAUCAACAGUAAGACAGAUGGUUUCAUUUACCCUUCAAUGUAUCAUGAAAGUGAGGAAGCCUGGC